rnacentral:rRNA from 1 species
GACGAACGCUGGCGGCGCGCCUAACACAUGCAAGUCGAGGGAGAAGCCACCUUCGGGUGGUGGAGACCGGCGAACGGGUGAGUAACACGUGAGGAACCUGCCCUGCAGUCUGGAAUAACCGCGGGAAACUGCGGCUAAUGCCAGAUAAUCUCGUAGCUCCGCAUGGAGCAUCGAGGAAAGCUCCGGCGCUGCAGGAUGGCCUCGCGGCCUAUCAGCUUGUUGGUGGGGUAACGGCCCACCAAGGCUACGACGGGUAGCUGGCGUGAGAGCGCGAUCAGCCACACUGGGACUGAGACACGGCCCAGACUCCUACGGGAGGCAGCA